rnacentral:rRNA from 1 species
UCCAGACUCCUACGGGAGGCAGCAGUGAGGAAUAUUGGUCAAUGGCCGAGAGGCUGAACCAGCCAAGUCGCGUGAGGGAAGACGGCCCUACGGGUUGUAAACCUCUUUUGUCGGGGAGCAAAGAGAGUCACGUGAGACUCAUUGAGAGUACCCGAAGAAAAAGCAUCGGCUAACUCCGUGCCAGCAGCCGCGGUAAUACGGAGGAUGCGAGCGUUAUCCGGAUUUAUUGGGUUUAAAGGGUGCGUAGGCGGAAUGCCAAGUCAGCGGUAAAAUCGCGGGGCUCAACCUCGCUCCGCCGUUGAAACUGGCGUUCUUGAGUGGGCGAGAAGUAUGCGGAAUGCGUGGUGUAGCGGUGAAAUGCAUAGAUAUCACGCAGAACUCCGAUUGCGAAGGCAGCGUACCGGCGCCCAACUGACGCUCAUGCACGAAAGCGUGGGUAUCGAACAGGAUUAGAUACCCUAGUAU